rnacentral:lncRNA from 1 species
AGCCACUCAGCUGACCUCAAUACCCCACUGAGCUUCCUGAGGAGCGAGUGCUUUCAGCUGGGAACUUGGGCUGCUGAAGAUCUCCAUCAUCUCAGAAAACCCUUUACUUUCUGAGCAAAUGGUAUGGGCUCAGCUGCUGCUUAUAUGCAAGGAUGCUCUUUUGCUCUGAUUUAUGUAGUUUCUCACAUCUCUUACUAAUCUUGUAUUGAGAGCAGGUCACAAAGUCUAGGGCACACGCCUACACCAACUCUUAUGUCAGCGUGCUCAAAGCCAAGGGGAUUGGUCCCAACUAUUGUAUAGAGCAGAGGGUGACAGGAGCAGGGAAUUGUUUGCCACAUCUCUCAAGUAAUAUAACAGCACAGCAAUGCUCAGAUUUAAAAUUCUUGUCUGUGUCAAUUUCCACACAAAAUUACAUUACUGAUGACAAAGGACUCUAAGAAACGUAUUAAGGGCAAGCAAAUAUGAACUGGAUCUACUUAAUAGAAAUGUCUAAAUAAUUAGUUUAAAGCAUGCCAUUAACUCUGGUAGUUUAGUCUCUUUUUUUUUCCUUUUUUUUUUUUUUUUCCAGAGUAGCCUAUUUUAGCUAUCAGAAGUUUAUUUUCUGUAAAUGGGUCAGUUCUGCAGUCCCAUGAUUUCCUGCUGUUCCUCAUGCAUCAGAGGACGCCACCUGACCACCCAGUGAGACCUCAGAGGUGCAGAACUCUGACUCGGACUGGAAACUGGGACUUCCAGCAAGAGUGACUGAUUCACUCUUUGAGCAAACACUUCAGUGAGACUGGGGAGUCAAACUUCCAGCUGCUACAGUAAUGGAUGCAGUAUCCGAAGGCACUGUUGAUGAGAGAACGCAUCAGCUCCAAGCUAUAGAGUAUUUUCUACACAGUUGCUUUCUGUUCACAGGUUUGCUCUUGCAAGAUGGGAGAUGCAUCUAAAUUUAAUUUGCCUGUGACAAAACCAAAAAUUUCCACCUGUGCAAGCAACAUUCACCAAGUUCUCCAGGUCUGCUGCAGAUCAGUUCUUCAAGAUAGAAGAUAAUUUGAAGAAAGAACCACAUCCAAGCCUUUGCUGGCAGGGAAAAAAAAAAAAACAGAGCAACAUAGAGAUAGAUAAAAAGGCAGCAGUGUAUCCAAAAUAGGAGAUGGCAUACUGUUGAAGACAUCUACAGAGAUUGUAAGUUUUCAGGACAGCUUUUCACAAUUCCCAGUUAAGAAGUCAGAGGACAUAAAAAUUGGGGGAACUGGCAAAUAAAGAAGAAGUUAAAACAGAGAGGUCUUGG